rnacentral:rRNA from 1 species
UGGGGAAUCUUGCGCAAUGGGCGAAAGCCUGACGCAGCUACGCCGCGUGAGUGAAGAAGGCCUUUGGGUUGUAAAGCUCUUUCGAACGGGAAGAAGGGUGAACUUGCGAAUAGUCUGUUCAUUUGACUGUACCGUAUGAAGAAGUCACGGCUAACUUCGUGCCAGCAGCCGCGGUAAUACGAAGGUGACAAGCGUUGUUCGGAAUCAUUGGGCGUAAAGCGCACGUAGGCGGGUUUGUAAGUCGAUUGUGAAAACCCUGGGCUCAACCCGGGACCUGCAGUCGAAACUACAAGUCUUGAAUACUCGAGAGGAUGGUGGAAUUCCAGGAGUAGAAGUGAAAUUCGUAGAUAUCUGGAGGAACACCGGAGGCGAAAGCGGCCAUCUGGCGAGUUAUUGACGCUAAGGUGCGAAAGCGUGGGGAUCAAACAG